GUUUGAUUCUGGCUCAGGAUGAACGCUGGCGGCGUGCCUAACACAUGCAAGUCGAGCGAUUUACUUCGGUAAAGAGCGGCGGACGGGUGAGUAACGCGUGGGUAACCUGCCCUGUACACACGGAUAACAUACCGAAAGGUAUGCUAAUACGAGAUAAAAUACUUUUAUCGCAUGGUAGAAGUAUCAAAGUUUUUGCGGUACAGGAUGGACCCGCGUCUGAUUAGCUAGUUGGUAAGGUAACGGCUUACCAAGGCGACGAUCAGUAGCCGACCUGAGAGGGUGAUCGGCCACAUUGGAACUGAGACACGGUCCAAACUCCUACGGGAGGCAGCAGUGGGGAAUAUUGCACAAUGGGCGAAAGCCUGAUGCAGCAACGCCGCGUGAGCGAUGAAGGCCUUCGGGUCGUAAAGCUCUGUCCUCAAGGAAGAUAAUGACGGUACUUGAGGAGGAAGCCCCGGCUAACUACGUGCCAGCAGCCGCGGUAAUACGUAGGGGGCUAGCGUUAUCCGGAAUUACUGGGCGUAAAGGGUGCGUAGGUGGUUUCUUAAGUCAGAGGUGAAAGGCUACGGCUCAACCGUAGUAAGCCUUUGAAACUGGGGAACUUGAGUGCAGGAGAGGAGAGUGGAAUUCCUAGUGUAGCGGUGAAAUGCGUAGAUAUUAGGAGGAACACCAGUUGCGAAGGCGGCUCUCUGGACUGUAACUGACACUGAGGCACGAAAGCGUGGGGAGCAAACAGGAUUAGAUACCCUGGUAGUCCACGCCGUAAACGAUGAGUACUAGCUGUCGGAGGUUACCCCCUUCGGUGGCGCAGCUAACGCAUUAAGUACUCCGCCUGGGAAGUACGCUCGCAAGAGUGAAACUCAAAGGAAUUGACGGGGACCCGCACAAGUAGCGGAGCAUGUGGUUUAAUUCGAAGCAACGCGAAGAACCUUACCUAAGCUUGACAUCCUUUUGACCGAUGCCUAAUCGCAUCUUUCCCUUCGGGGACAGAAGUGACAGGUGGUGCAUGGUUGUCGUCAGCUCGUGUCGUGAGAUGUUGGGUUAAGUCCCGCAACGAGCGCAACCCUUGCCUUUAGUUGCCAGCAUUAAGUUGGGCACUCUAGAGGGACUGCCAGGGAUAACCUGGAGGAAGGUGGGGAUGACGUCAAAUCAUCAUGCCCCUUAUGCUUAGGGCUACACACGUGCUACAAUGGGUGGUACAGAGGGCAGCCAAGUCGUGAGGCGGAGCUAAUCCCUUAAAGCCAUUCUCAGUUCGGAUUGUAGGCUGAAACUCGCCUACAUGAAGCUGGAGUUACUAGUAAUCGCAGAUCAGAAUGCUGCGGUGAAUGCGUUCCCGGGUCUUGUACACACCGCCCGUCACACCACGGAAGUUGGGGGCGCCCGAAGCCACUUAGCUAACCCUUUUGGGAAGCGAGUGUCGAAGGUGAAAUCAAUAACUGGGGGGAAGUCGUAAAAAGGUAGCC
rnacentral:rRNA from 1 species